rnacentral:rRNA from 1 species
UCCAGUUUAUCCUGCUGGAGGAUGCGGCUAUCUGACUCAUGCUUAGACAUGCAAGUUUGACUGAAAAGCCGGCGAACUGCUCAGUAACACGUAGCUAACCUAACCUUAGGACAGGGAUAACCUCGGGAAACUGAGGAUAAUACCUGAUAGGAAAUGUUUUCUGGAAUGAGAUAUUUCUCAAACUUACGACCUAAGGAUGGGGCUGCGGCUGAUUAGCUAGUUUUUGGUGUAAAAGACUAACAAGGCGAUGAUCAGUAAGGGCUCUUAGCGGAGGGGCCCUGAGAAGGAAUCUGAGACACUAUUCCUAGCUCUACGGGGUGCAGCAGUCAAGGAAAUUUUACAAUGCUCGAAAGAGUGAUAAAAUGAGUCAGAGUGUUUCCCCUUGGGAAACUUUUUCUUGAUGCAAAAGUCAGGAGAAUAAGGACUGGGUAAGACUGGUGCCAGCCGCCGCGGUAAUACCGGCGGUCCAAGUCGCAUCCACUUUUAUUAGGUCUAAAACAUUCGUAGCUUGUUAUGUAAGUCUCUUGUGAAAUCCUAUAUCUCAAGUAUAGGGCGUGCAAGAGGUACUGCAUGGCUUUGAGACCGGAAGGCGCAAGAAGUACAGUUUAGGUAGCGGUAAAAUGCGUUAAUCUCGACUGGACUAACAAUUAGCGAAGGCAUCUUGCGAGUACGGAUCUGACAGUGAGGGAUGAAGGCUAGGGGCGCGAAAGGGAUUAGAUACCCCUGUAGUCCUAGCAGUAAACACUGCUCACUAAACAUCAGUACCUCCUCGAGAGGCAUUGGUGCUGUAGGGAAGCCGCAGAGUGAGCUACCUGGGAAGUAUAGUCGCAAGGCCGAAACUUAAAGGAAUUGGCGGGGAGGUGCUACAACGGGUGACGCGUGCGGUUCAAUUAGACGCUACACCGUGAAUCUCACCAGGAGCGACAGCAGAAUGAAGGUCAGUCUGAAGGGCUUACCUGACACGCUGAGAGGAGUUGCAUGGCCGACAUAAGCCUGUGUCUUGAGAUGACUUGUUAAAUCAAGUAACAGGCGAGACCCUCGUGUUUAAUUGCUACGUAAAGAGUACAUUAAACAGGCUGCCUUGGCAACAAGGAGGAGGGUGGGGGCAAUGUUAGGUGUGUACAGCCCGAAUCCCCUGGGCAACACGCGCGCGGCAAUGCUACAUUCAAUGAGAUGCGACUCCGAAAGGAGAAGCUAAUCUCCUAAAGUGUAGCUUAGUUCGGAUUGAGGUUUGUAACCCAACCUCAUGCUGAUGGAAUCCGUAGUAAUCGUUUGUUAUCAGCGAACGGUGAAUAUGUCAUCGCCUCUUGCACACACUGCCCGUCAAACCAACCGAGUUAUGCUUUGGCGAGGCUCUUUUUGAAACGAACCUCGGUAUGGCAAGGU